UGUGAACUCGAAGAGUAGGGCGGGACACGUGGUAUCCUGUCUGAAUAUGGGGGGACCAUCCUCCAAGGCUAAAUACUCCUGACUGACCGAUAGUGAACCAGUACCGUGAGGGAAAGGCGAAAAGAACCCCGGCGAGGGGAGUGAAAAAGAACCUGAAACCGUGUACGUACAAGCAGUGGGAGCACCUUCGGGUGUGACUGCGUACCUUUUGUAUAAUGGGUCAGCGACUUAUAUUCUGUAGCAAGGUUAACCGUAUAGGGGAGCCGCAGGGAAACCGAGUCUUAACUGGGCGUUAAGUUGCAGGGUAUAGACCCGAAACCCGGUGAUCUAGCCAUGGGCAGGUUGAAGGUUGGGUAACACUAACUGGAGGACCGAACCGACUAAUGUUGAAAAAUUAGCGGAUGACUUGUGGCUGGGGGUGAAAGGCCAAUCAAACCGGGAGAUAGCUGGUUCUCCCCGAAAGCUAUUUAGGUAGCGCCUCGUGAAUUCAUCUUCGGGGGUAGAGCACUGUUUCGGCUAGGGGGUCAUCCCGACUUACCAACCCGAUGCAAACUACGAAUACCGAAGAAUGUUAUCACGGGAGACACACGGCGGGUGCUAACGUCCGUCGUGAAGAGGGAAACAACCCAGACCGCCAGCUAAGGUCCCAAAGUCAUGGUUAAGUGGGAAACGAUGUGGGAAGGCACAGACAGCCAGGAUGUUGGCUUAGAAGCAGCCAUCAUUUAAAGAAAGCGUAAUAGCUCACUGGUCGAGUCGGCCUGCGCGGAAGAUGUAACGGGGCUAAACCAUGCACCGAAGCUGCGGCAGCGACACUAUGUGUUGUUGGGUAGGGGAGCGUUCUGUAAGCCUGCGAAGGUGACCUGUGAGGGUUGCUGGAGGUAUCAGAAGUGCGAAUGCUGACAUAAGUAACGAUAAAGCGGGUGAAAAGCCCGCUCGCCGGAAGACCAAGGGUUCCUGUCCAACGUUAAUCGGGGCAGGGUGAGUCGACCCCUAAGGCGAGGCCGAAAGGCGUAGUCGAUGGGAAACAGGUUAAUAUUCCUGUACUUGGUGUUACUGCGAAGGGGGGACGGAGAAGGCUAUGUUAGCCGGGCGACGGUUGUCCCGGUUUAAGCAUGUAGGCUGGUUGUCCAGGCAAAUCCGGAUAAUCAAGGCUGAGGUGUGAUGACGAGG
rnacentral:rRNA from 1 species